rnacentral:rRNA from 1 species
GACGAACGCUGGCGGCGUGCCUAAUACAUGCAAGUAGAACGCUGAAGAGAGGAGCUUGCUCUUCUUGGAUGAGUUGCGAACGGGUGAGUAACGCGUAGGUAACCUGCCUUGUAGCGGGGGAUAACUAUUAGAAACGAUAGCUAAUACCGCAUAACAAUGGAUGCCACAUGUCAUUUAUUUGAAAGGGGCAAUUGCUCCACUACAAGAUGGACCUGCGUUGUAUUAGCUAGUAGGUGAGGUAAUGGCUCACCUAGGCGACGAUACAUAGCCGACCUGAGAGGGUGAUCGGCCACACUGGGACUGAGACACGGCCCAGACUCCUACGGGAGGCAGCAGUAGGGAAUCUUCGGCAAUGGGGGCAACCCUGACCGAGCAACGCCGCGUGAGUGAAGAAGGUUUUCGGAUCGUAAAGCUCUGUUGUAAGUCAAGAACGGGUGUGAGAGUGGAAAGUUCACACUGUGACGGUAGCUUACCAGAAAGGGACGGCUAACUACGUG